rnacentral:rRNA from 1 species
AUUGAACGCUGGCGGCAGGCCUAACACAUGCAAGUCGAGCGAGCGGCGGACGGGUGAGUAAUGUCUGGGAAACUGCCUGAUGGAGGGGGAUAACUACUGGAAACGGUAGCUAAUACCGCAUACCAUCAGAUGUGCCCAGAUGGGAUGAGCUGGUAGGUGGGGUAACGGCUCACCUAGGCGCCGAUCCCUAGCUGGUAUCAGAGGCUGACCAGCCACACUGGAACUGAGCCACGGUCCAGACUCCUACGGUAGGCAGCAGUGGGGAAUAUUGCACAAUGGGCGCAAGCCUGAUGAAGCCAUGCCGCGUGUGUGAAGAAGGCCUUCGGGUUGUAAAGCACUUUCAGCGGGGAGGCGUUACCCGCAGAAGAAGCACCGGCUAACUCCGUGCCAGCAGCCGCGGUAAUAC